rnacentral:lncRNA from 1 species
AAGGCAGCACGGGCUCCGUGACGCGGCCCUCAGCUCGAAUGCCUGCAUCUCCUGUCUAACAGGACCGUGUGAGACACUGAACUGAAGACGAUUACAGCCCAUCAUCAAGACCGAUCAAGAUUAACGUGUGCCGGCGGCUGUGGCAAGCGCUUACAAGCACAGCUCGCCUGACCCUCGCGACAGCCUGGGAUGCAGAUGCCGUCGCUAGCUUCGCUUUCUAGAUGAAGUCGUCGGGCUUGGAAAGAUGAGACAAUUUUCUGAGGUCACACAGCUAACACAGAACACUGUGGUCAACACCCAGGCUGUCCAAUGCCCAGACCGUGUGCUGAUCCUCCGCACUGCAAGGCCUCCUGAGGCUGGCAUGGGACUUUACUCAAUGUCUCAGAGGAAGAUAACAGAGAAAUCUUGGGAUAUUCUUUGCUACCCACUGAUUUUCCUGAUGAUUAGAAAGUAACGACAUUUUCAGAAUUAUUAANNNNNNNNNNCUCCGAGUUCUUCAGCUGUUGGACUCUUGGACUUACACCAGUGAUUUGCCAGGGGCUCUCAGGCCUUCGGCCACAGGCUAAAGGCUGCACUGUCGGCUUCCCUGCUGGUGAGGUUCUGGGACUUGGACUGGCUUCCUUGCUCCUCAGCUAUUGUGGGACCUCACCUUGUGAUCGAGAGUCAAUUCUCCUAAUAAACUCCCCUUCAUAGAUUCAUCUAUUCUAUGAGUCCUGUCCCUCUAGAAAGCCCCGACUAAUACAGGCACUGAGGGGUGGGGGAGAGCUCCAGUUCUCAGCUCCUUCACCUGCUUCUCUGUCACAGUUUUGGGAUUCCUCAGCACCUGGUGGCACGGAAGCCAUUACAGAUGGGCAAUGGCCAUUUUAAAGUGUUCUCAAGGCGGAGUGUCCUGCAGUCCAUGGCUGUGAGCUGUUGACUGGAGAGGGAGGCAAGAAUGAUUCUUCUCUGUGGUGCGGGAAUCAGAUGAUUUUAAACCAUCCAAAGACAGAACAGCUGUGUUAACAGCCACAUAGGUUGCUAGGUGAUAUUAAAUCUGUAGUCAGCUAGAAAACCCAGUUCUUUUCAUAUUUACCACUGAUCAACUUUAGUCACAGAAGCAUAGGUCUGCAAUUGAUACAGAAAACUCAUUUCAGCUGGGCCCAGUGGCUCAUGCCUGUAAUCCCAGCACUUUGGGAGGCAGAGGCAGGAGGAUUGCUUGAGGCCAGGAGUUUGAGACCAGCCUGGGCAACAUGGCAAGACCCCCUCUCUACAAAAAACUUAGCUGGGCAUGGUGGUGCAUUCCCGUAGUCCCAGCUACUCGGGAGGCUGAGGCGGGAGGAUUGCUUGAGCCCAGGAGGUCAAGGCUGCAGUGAGCUGCAUUUGCGCCUCUGCACUCCAGUGUGGGUGACAGAGCGAGGCCUCGUCUCAAAAACAGACAAAAAAAACCCACAGCACCCUGAGAUCCUACCACCCUGGCCGGCUGUCAGCAACGAUCCUAUCAAGUCUGCUUGGCCAGAAACCCCUUCUUGAUGCUUCCUCUGGGUAAUUUUCCAACCACGGACCCUGACCCUGACCCUGGUCCCUGGUUGUCAGUUCCCACCUGUCCUCCGUGAGAGGGAUGCUGGUACGUGGCUGUGUGCGUAAAAUCACCCUCCUGGUCGAGACAGUCGAGGUGCCCGCACCCCUCCUGGAGCCUGGGGUCGUGCCCCUCUGUAAAACGUGCUCAAGUCUUUCCCAGCUUCACAGCGCCUCCCUGGCCCUUCCCUCCCUUCUUCCACCUCAGCGUCUCCCCACCCUGCCCUGGGUUCCUGCUCUCUGGGAACUCGGUCAGAGGUGACCUUGGUUCUUGCUGAGGUCCUCUCAGCCAUAGCGGUGAGUGGUCCUGCAUCCCGUCCCCCUUCGUCCUGCCUGGGGUGGCCGGUUUAUCCCAACUUCCCACCACUCCUGCAGUGGCUGAGGCUUUCUCCUGCCUGAUCACUUUGGGCUCUGACCUUUGGUCCAGGACACCGAGGCCUAGGACUGGCCACAGACACUGCAGAACCACCCUGCGCUCAGCUGCCCCAAUGCCAAG